CAACUUUGUGCUAUUUCCUGAACCCUCUCCUGUCCAUUACCACCAUUCAUUACAGAGCAAAUAUGUGGUUAAACCUUGUGUCCUUCCUAGUAGUCCUCAAAGGAGUCCAAUCUCAAGUCCAGUUGGUGGAGUCUGGAGGGGGUGUGAGAAGACCUGGAGAGUCCCUCCGUCUCACCUGCCAAGGUUCUGGAUUCACCUUCAGCAGCUACUGGAUGAACUGGGUGAGACAGGCUCCUGGGAAAGGCCUGGAAUGGGUGGCCUACAUACAUCCAGCCUCAUCUUCCACAUACUACUCAGACAAAGUGAAAGGACGCUUCACCAUCUCCAGGGACAAUGCCAAAAGCCAGCUGUAUCUGCAAAUGAAUAGCCUCAAAGCUGAAGACGCAGGAAUCUAUUACUGUGCGAGAGACACAGUGAGAGGAAGUGAAUCUGAGGCCUUACAAGAACCUUCCUUUCUUCAGAGCAGCUGUUCAAUAUGACUGAGCCGCAGACCCAGGAUUCCUCAAGAAGGAUCGGUUUUUGUUAUUUCUA